rnacentral:rRNA from 1 species
AACGAACGCUGGCGGCAUGCCUAACACAUGCAAGUCGAACGAGACCUUCUGGUCUAGUGUCGCACGGGUGCGUAACGCGUGGGAACCUGCCCUUAGGUUCGGAAUAACUCCCCGAAAGGGGUGCUAAUACCGGAUAAUGUCUUCGGACCAAAGAUUUAUGGCCUUUGGAUGGGCCCGCGUUGGAUUAGCUAGUUGGUAGGGUAAAAGCCUACCAAGGCGACGAUCCAUAGCUGGUCUGAGAGGAUGAUCAGCCACACUGGGACUGAGACACGGCCCAGACUCCUACGGGAGGAAGCAGUGGGGAAUAUUGGACAAGGGGCGAAAGCCUGCGCCAGAAAUGCGGCGUGAGUGAUGAAGGCCUUAGGGUUGUAAAGCUCUUUUACCCGGGAUGAUAAUGACAGUACCGGGAGAAUAAGCUCCGGCUAACUCCGUG